GUCACUAUGGCGGAGUGGUUAACGCGCUGCCCUGCUAUACCAGCAUAGGCAGUCCCUUCGGGGGCGUAGGUUCGAAUCCUACUGGUGACG